rnacentral:rRNA from 1 species
AGAUGCUAAUACCGCAUAACAACUUGGACCGCAUGGUCCGAGCUUGAAAGAUGGCUUCGGCUAUCACUUUUGGAUGGUCCCGCGGCGUAUUAGCUAGAUGGUGGGGUAACGGCUCACCAUGGCAAUGAUACGUAGCCGACCUGAGAGGGUAAUCGGCCACAUUGGGACUGAGACACGGCCCAAACUCCUACGGGAGGCAGCAGUAGGGAAUCUUCCACAAUGGACGAAAGUCUGAUGGAGCAACGCCGCGUGAGUGAAGAAGGGUUUCGGCUCGUAAAACUCUGUUGUUAAAGAAGAACAUAUCUGAGAGUAACUGUUCAGGUAUUGACGGUAUUUAACCAGAAAGCCACGGCUAACUACGUGCCAGCAGCCGCGGUAAUACGUAGGUGGCAAGCGUUGUCCGGAUUUAUUGGGCGUAAAGCGAGCGCACGCGGUUUUUUAAGUCUGAUGUGAAAGCCUUCGGCUCAACCGAAGAAGUGCAUCGGAAACUGGGAAACUUGAGUGCAGAAGAGGACAGUGGAACUCCAUGUGUAGCGGUGUAAUGCGUAGAUAUAUGUACGUACACCAGUGCCGAAGGCGGCUGUCUAGUCAGUAUCUGACGCUGAGGCUCGAAAGUAUGGGUAGCAAACAGGAUUAGAUACCCCGGUAGUCCUUUCUGUAAACGAUGCAUGCUAAGUGUUCGAGGGGGGCUGGCCUUCAGUGCAACAAAUAAAGCAUUAAGCAUUCCCCCUGGGGAGUACGGCCGCAAGGCUGAAACUCAAAGGAAUUGACGGGGGCCCGCACAAGCGGUGGAGCAUGCGGUUUAAUUCGAAGCUACGCGAAGAACCUUACACAGGUCUUGACAUACUAUGCAAAUCUAAGAGAUUAGACGUUCCCUUCGGGGACAUGGAUACAGGUGGUGCAUGGUUGUCGUCGAGCUCGCG